rnacentral:rRNA from 1 species
UACGUAGGCAGCAAGCGUUGUUCGGAAUUAUUGGGCGUAAAGGGCGCGUAGGCGGCUUGGCAAGUGGAUGGUGAAAUCCCUCGGCUUAACCGAGGAACUGCCGUCCAAACUGCUUCGCUUGAGACCGGGAGAGGUGAGUGGAAUUCCCAGUGUAGCGGUGAAAUGCGUAGAUAUUGGGAGGAACACCAGUGGCGAAGGCGGCUCACUGGACCGGUACUGACGCUGAUGCGCGAAAGCGUGGGGAGCAACGGGG